rnacentral:rRNA from 1 species
UACGGGGGGGGCAAGCGUUGUUCGGAAUUACUGGGCGUAAAGGGCGCGUAGGUGGCCAACUAAGUCAGACGUGAAAUCCCUCGGCUUAACCGGGGAACUGCGUCUGAUACUGGAUGGCUUGAGUUUGGGAGAGGGACGCGGAAUUCCAGGUGUAGCGGUGAAAUGCGUAGAUAUCGGGAGGAACACCAGUGGCGAAGGCGACUUCCUGGCCUGUUCUUGACGCUGAGGCGCGAAAGCUAGGGUAGCAAACGGG